GCAUCAGUAGUGCAACGGGUUAGAGCACAUGCUCCCGGAGAGGGUGAGAUAUGAGUUCGAAUCUUGCCUGACGCC